UUAAAUACAACUUCAAAGUGGCAGACUGGAAAAUCUCUGCAGGCAAAUGUGAUGUCACUAAAGAAAUCACACACUUACCUAUAGAGAUUCUACAGUCUGACAUCUUCAAGCAUCAGAACUGG
rnacentral:pre_miRNA from 15 species